GAGAGUGGGUAGUCCGUACGAGCGCACCUUAUCCUUAUUUGCCAGCACGUAAUGGUGGGAACUCUAAGGAGACUGCCGGUGAUAAACCGGAGGAAGGUGGGGACGACGUCAAGUCAUCAUGGCCCUUAUGGGUAGGGCUACACACGUGCUACAAUGGCCGGUACAGAGGGCUGCAAACUCGCGAGAGUAAGCGAAUCUCAGAAAGCCGGUCUUAGUCCGGAUUGCAGUCUGCAACUCGACUGCAUGAAGUCGGAAUCGCUAGUAAUCGCGAAUCAGAAUGUCGCGGUGAAUACGUUCCCGGGCCUUGUACACACCGCCCGUCACACCAUGGGAGUGGGUUGCAAAAGAAGUGGGUAGACUAACCUUCGGGAGGUCGCUCACCACUUUGUGAUUCAUGACUGGGGUGAAGUCGUAACAAGGUAGCCCUAGGGGAACCUGGGGCUGGAUCACCUCCUU
rnacentral:rRNA from 1 species